UUUACAGUUUAAUUCAUUUCAGAAAUAUUUUUAGAGUAUUUCUCUUUGUCUGUCUUGGACUCUUGGGGGCAUCCCAUGAAAAAGAAAAAGAAAGAAAGAAGGAAAAUCAGAACAAAAAUUUCUUUCAAAAAUUAGUUAAAGUCAUGGAAGACGGCAGCUCAAACAGUUCCUCAGCAAAGGGAUCGGAGUUGGAAGCCCUGCAGAAGGAGCAUGAGGAAAAAAGUUCGAAGAUUCAAGAGCUCAAGAGACAAAUUGAAGCAACUAAGCAUCUUCUGGAAAAUAAGAAGG